CAAACUUAGGAAUUUCAUAUUCCCAUCUUAAAAUUUCUGGGAAUGUUCUAUAAUUCUCCCAACCACACACACCUUUAAUAAUGGAGGCAUUCCAG